rnacentral:rRNA from 1 species
GGCUCAGGAUGAACGCUGGCGGCGUGCCUAAUACAUGCAAGUCGAACGAAACUUCUUUAUCACCGAGUGCUUGCACUCACCGAUAAAGAGUUGAGUGGCGAACGGGUGAGUAACACGUGGGCAACCUGCCCAAAAGAGGGGGAUAACACUUGGAAACAGGUGCUAAUACCGCAUAACCAUAGUUACCGCAUGGCAACUAUGUAAAAGGUGGCUAUGCUACCGCUUUUGGAUGGGCCCGCGGCGCAUUAGCUAGUUGGUGGGGUAAAGGCUUACCAAGGCAAGGAUGCGAACCCAAACUGAAAGGUUGAUCGGCCACAUAGGGACUGAGACACGGCCCAAACUCCUACGGGAGGCAGCAGUAGGGAAUCUUCCACAAUGGGCGAAAGCCUGAUGGAGCAACGCCGCGUGGGUGAAGAAGGUCUUCGGAUCGUAAAACCCUGUUGUUAGAGAAGAAAGUGCGUGAGAGUAACUGUUCACGUUUCGACGGUAUCUAACCAGAAAGCCACGGCUAACUACGUGCCAGCAGCCGCGGUAAUACGUAGGUGGCAAGCGUUAUCCGGAUUUAUUGGGCGUAAAGGGAACGCAGGCGGUCUUUUAAGUCUGAUGUGAAAGCCUUCGGCUUAACCGGAGUAGUGCAUUGGAAACUGGGAGACUUGAGUGCAGAAGAGGAGAGUGGAACUCCAUGUGUAGCGGUGAAAUGCGUAGAUAUAUGGAAGAACACCAGUGGCGAAAGCGGCUCUCUGGUCUGUAACUGACGCUGAGGUUCGAAAGCGUGGGUAGCAAACAGGAUUAGAUACCCUGGUAGUCCACGCCGUAAACGAUGAAUGCUAAGUGUUGGCGGGUUUCCGCCCUUCAGUGCUGCAGCUAACGCAAUAAGCAUUCCGCCUGGGGAGUACGACCGCAAGGUUGCAACUCAAAUGAAUUGACGGA